GUUCUUAUAGCAUAACUGGAUAGUGCACCCGCCUCCUAAGCGGAUGAUCUCGGUUCGAUUCCGAGUAAGAACA
rfam:Lactobacillus oligofermentans DSM 15707 = LMG 22743 strain DSM 15707 NODE_85, whole genome shotgun sequence.